CGCUGUGGUAACCUGUGGUAACGUGUGGUAACGCUGUGGUAGCGUGUGGUAACCCUGUUAACCCUGUGGUAAUGUUGUUAACCCUGUGGUAAUGCUGUUAACCCUGUGGUAACGCUGUGGUAACGUGUGGUAACCCUGUUAACCCUGUGGUAACCCUGUUAACCCUGUGGUAACCAAAUCCCACCAGCUGCAACCUGUUCCGUAAUCAAGACCUCUACAAAUACUCAGCCCUGCCACUUCCACGCUGCCAGAUCGUAGCCUCUACUCAGUCAGUCUGCAUUUCUAGCUGUUUGUUCCUAGCCUCACGCUGCUUUUUCUCUCUGCUACAGUCCCGUCUGCUCUGACUCUGGUACCUGUCUCCAGUCCCUCGUCUCUUCAGUCCUGCUUCCUUGCCCUGGAUCCCCGCUCUACUGCGUCAUUGGAUUCUUCUCCAGACCUGCUUACCUGGUUCCUAAUCUCCUUGCCCUCAGCCUCAGUCCGGAUUCCCUACUACCCACCCCAUCUCCUCUCCUGAUAAUAAAUACAUUGGUUACCUAACCUCGUCUCCUCGUCUGAGUCUGCAUUUGGGUUCACCUGCACCGCCCCGCGUAACAGUGUAUGGAUUAUAGUAGACAAACCAUAGGAUUGCAUAGGUCAGAGGGGCCGGGCCACACAGAGGAUAAGAAGAUUGUCUCUGAAGUCAAAUCCUCUUGUUACGUCAUACGUGUGUCUCUACCAUUAAUCAGAGAGAGAGAGAGAGAGAGAGAGAAGAGAGAGAGAGAGAGAGAGAGAGAGAGAGAGGUGAAGAAGGAAGAGAGAGAGAGAGAGAGAGAGAGAGAGAGAGAGAGGUGAAGAAGGAAGAGAGAGAGAGGUGAAGAAGGAAGAGAGAGAGAGGUGAAGAAGGAAGAGAGAGAGAGAGAGAUGAAGAAGAAGUGAGAGAGAGAGAGAAAGAGAGAGAGGUGAAGAAGGAAGAGAGAGAGAGAGAGGUGAAGAAGGAAGAGAGAGAGAGAGAGAGAGAGAGGUGAAGAAGGAAGAGAGAGAGAGAGAGAGAGAGGUGAAGAAGGGAGAGAGAGAGAGAGGUGAAGAAGGAAGAGAGAGAGAGAGAGAGACGGUUGAAGAAGGAAGAGAGAGAGAGAGGUGAAGAAGGAAGAGAGAGAGAGGUGAAGAAGGAAGAGAGAGAGAGAGAGAGAGGGUGAAGAAGGAAGAGAGAGAGAGAGAGAGGUGAAGAAGAGAGAGAGAGAGAGAGGUGAAGAAGGAAGAGAGAGAGAGAGGUGAAGAAGGAAGAGAGAGAGAGUGAGAUAGGUGAAGAGAGAGAGAGAGAGAGGGGUGAAGAAGGAAGAGAGAGAGAGAGGUGAAGAAGGAAGAGAGAGAGAGGUGAAGAAGGAAGAGAGAGAGAGAGAGAGGUGAAGAAGAGAGAGAGAGAGAGAGGUGAAGAAGGAAGAGAGAGAGAGAGGUGAAGAAGGAAGAGAGAGAGAGUGAGAUAGGUGAAGAGAGAGAGAGAGAGAGGGGUGAAGAAGGAAGAGAGAGAGAGAGGUGAAGAAGGAAGAGAGAGAGAGGUGAAGAAGGAAGAGAGAGAGAGAGAGACAGAGGUGAAGAAGGAAGAGAGAGAGAGGUGAAGAAGGAAGAGAGAGAGAGAGAGAGGUGAAGAAGGAAGAGAGAGAGAGAGGUGAAGAAGGAAGAGAGAGAGAG
rnacentral:lncRNA from 1 species